GUGGGGAAUCUUGCGCAAUGGGCGAAAGCCUGACGCAGCCAUGCCGCGUGAAUGAUGAAGGUCUUAGGAUUGUAAAAUUCUUUCACCGGGGACGAUAAUGACGGUACCCGGAGAAGAAGCUCCGGCUAACUUCGUGCCAGCAGCCGCGGUAAUACGAAGGGGGCUAGCGUUGCUCGGAAUUACUGGGCGUAAAGGGCGCGUAGGCGGACAGCAUAGUCAGAGGUGAAAGCCCAGGGCUCAACCUUGGAAUUGCCUUUGAUACUGGCUGUCUUGAGUACGUGAGAGGUGAGUGGAACUCCGAGUGUAGAGGUGAAAUUCGUAGAUAUUCGGAAGAACACCAGUGGCGAAGGCGACUCACUGGCCCGUUACUGACGCUGAGGCGCGAAAGCGUGGGGAGCAAACAGGAUUAGAUACCCCUGUAGUCC
rnacentral:rRNA from 1 species